GACGAACGCUGGCGGCGUGCUUAACACAUGCAAGUCGAACGGAAAGGCCCUGCUUUUGUGGGGUGCUCGAGUGGCGAACGGGUGAGUAACACGUGAGUAACCUGCCCUUGACUUUGGGAUAACUUCAGGAAACUGGGGCUAAUACCGGAUAGGAGCUCCUGCUGCAUGGUGGGGGUUGGAAAGUUUCGGCGGUUGGGGAUGGACUCGCGGCUUAUCAGCUUGUUGGUGGGGUAGUGGCUUACCAAGCCUUUGACGGGUAGCCGGCCUGAGAGGGUGACCGGGCACAAUGGGACUGAGAUACGGCCCAGACUCCUACGGGAGGCAGCAGUGGGGAAUAUUGCACAAUGGGCGGAAGCCUGAUGCAGCAACGCCGCGUUCGGGAUGACGGCCUUCGGGUUGUAAACCGCUUUCGCCUGUGACGAAGCGUGAGUGACGGUAAUGGGUAAAGAAGCACCGGCUAACUACGUG
rnacentral:rRNA from 1 species